CAAAAAACAUUGAAAUUUAGGACUAACAUUGUGUAAUUUAUUUCUUUUCAGGUACCCCCGCCAGAAGGACGGAAGCAUCGAGUCGCUGAGGAGCCUAAGGAGUCAUCACAGAUGCAAAAUGCCGGUCGUCAGCUGUCAUUGCAUUUUUACUGAGCUGCUGGCAUUAUGGUGGUGGCGUUCGUCUCGUGGCAGAGAAGUCGUCAGUGAGGAUUGUAGCUCGGUCUAUCACCGAGGAAAGCCAGGUGCGCCGCGUCUUGUGGCCAUAGCGUCAGGAUUGGCAGCUUGGGGCCGCCGGUUCGAGAUUUGUUGCAGGGGGCCGCCGCAACGUGAUAGGCAUGGAAAUUAAUGUAAGAAUUGUAUUUGGUACAUUGAGUGGAAUUUAAUUUAAGGAAACUAGUCUGGGGUGAGUAUUGUAUUGCUUUUAUAAUUGCGUUGAUUUUUUUGCUUUUCAGGCACGUUUUAUGAGGGCUAACUUGGAGGCCCUUUUUAUUGUGUUAUUGCAGCUGGAAUGCCGCGAUUUUGGAGUCAUCAAGUUGGCAAUUAGAUAAGUAUUAUAUUAUAAAUAUAUAUUUCCCAGUAAUAUAUAAUAUAAUAAUAUAAUAAUU